CGUCUAUCUACAUACGCGGUGCUAAUAGUUUCCGAAUAAAAACAAUGUGGUCGAUACUGGCGUUUCGAGAUUCCAAUAGGACGUUUCGGCUAGGAAGUAUCACUUUCAAGUGAAAACUGAGGUCUACGAUCGAAGCUACCCGCAUAUAUACGUCAUCGGUGUGGAGAACAUUGACGGGCGGGGCAGGAUAAGGUUCCUGGCGCGUGACUGUAUUUUAUUCCCCUGUUCCCAGUCUUUGUUGCAUAUUAUGAAGGUGUUGUCCACCAACGUCUCUUGUUCUUGACGACGACACCUUCAUAAUAUGCAGACAGCUGGAAUAGAGAAAGAGAAAAACCAGGUAAUACCAUUCCUCAAUGUCGUGUACACAAAACUCACAUACAGGCCAGUACCUAAAUGCAUCGUCCAACAACAGAGCAACACGCAAACGAGGAAUAAUCCAAUCACUGUACAAAAGAGCAAAAACUGUCAGUAGCAACCAAGUUCUACUUAACGAUGAAGUUGAACGAACUAAAGAAGAUCAGAACGGUUAUUCAACGAGACUGAUUGAAGAUGUUAUUACUCUCAAUACCAAGAGUUUCGGAAAAGAUCAAAAGAAUUGCAACAAAAUACAACAUCAAAACUGCCUUCCGUUGUGAACAAAAUAUAAGAAGUUUAAUAACGAAAACAAAACCAGAAAACAUCACAAACAAAAAAUUCCACAAUUCUACAACAGGGAACCCACUGGAAGAAGAGAAAGUCCAUAGAAGCUGCCUCUAUCCAACGCAACAACAUCUUUAGUCAUCCAAUCAAUCUCCACUGUCACACGUCAGGAACCUUGAGCUGUCCCACCCGUUGACUAAUCAACCGAUGACAUGACUCGUUCACCAUAUAAAUGCUUCGAUCAUAGUGCUCAGUUUUCACUUUUCACGCCUAGUCAUACUUUCUAGCCGAAGCGUCGUGUUAAAAACGUUUUUCGACAAUGGAAGUUCGAAAUGCCCGGUAUUGGCCAGAAUGAACCUUUAGAGAAACUUAGACAAGAAAGAAUGCUUCAAAGAAAAGAAAGAAAGUUUUAAAAUGGCAAAUUUGUAACUUGAUUUAAAAUUAAGUUAGUUUUAUUAAGUCAAUCAGAUCAAUUUUUUAACUCCUUUAGUGUAAAAUAAAUAAGAACUAAAAGUUCAGAUUUUCACGAAAUUAUAUAUUUUCAUAUGACAAUUGUUGCGACAACACCGUAUCUUUAUCAAAUGUCUUUUAGUGUAUUUAAACUUAAUAGAUUGAAGCAAAUUUGAGGAGGAAGUGGGUGAUUAUCUGAGUGAAUGAAUUUCUAAAAUUUUGUGAUAUACUAAUAGCCAUGGAAUCCUAAGUUUCUGAAAUGGUCUCUAUAUCCCGCGUUGCAUAUAAUUCUGAUCGCCCUUUUCUGCGUACAAUUUUUUUAAAUUUAAUGUGCUGACUUUCUCCACAGUACAACAGCAUAUGCCAGAUCGAAUGAGAUUAGACAUUCUGUUUUUA